CACUCCUGCGGGAGGCAGCAGUGGGGAAUUUUGGACAAUGGGCGAAAGCCUGAUCCAGCAAUGCCGCGUGUGUGAAGAAGGCCUUCGGGUUGUAAAGCACUUUUGUCCGGAAAGAAAUCCUUGGCUCUAAUACAGUCGGGGGAUGACGGUACCGGAAGAAUAAGCACCGGCUAACUACGUGCCAGCAGCCGCGGUAAUACGUAGGGUGCGAGCGUUAAUCGGAAUUACUGGGCGUAAAGCGUGCGCAGGCGGUUUGCUAAGACCGAUGUGAAAUCCCCGGGCUCAACCUGGGAACUGCAUUGGUGACUGGGAGGCUAGAGUAUGGCAGAGGGGGGUAGAAUUCCACGUGUAGCAGUGAAAUGCGUAGAGAUGUGGAGGAAUACCGAUGGCGAAGGCAGCCCCCUGGGCCAAUACUGACGCUCAUGCACGAAAGCGGGGGGAGCAAACAGGAUUAGAAACCCGAGUAGUCCC
rnacentral:rRNA from 1 species